rnacentral:rRNA from 1 species
AUUGAACGCUGGCGGCAGGCUUAACACAUGCAAGUCGAGCGGGGGAAGGUAGCUUGCUACCGGACCUAGCGGCGGAUGGGUGAGUAAUGCUUAGGAAUCUGCCUAUUAGUGGGGGACAACAUUCCGAAAGGAAUGCUAAUACCGCAUACGUCCUACGGGAGAAAGCAGGGGAUCUUCGGACCUUGCGCUAAUAGAUGAGCCUAAGUCGGAUUAGCUAGUUGGUGGGGUAAAGGCCUACCAAGGCGACGAUCUGUAGCGGGUCUGAGAGGAUGAUCCGCCACACUGGGACUGAGACACGGCCCAGACUCCUACGGGAGGCAGCAGUGGGGAAUAUUGGACAAUGGGGGAAACCCUGAUCCAGCCAUGCCGCGUGUGUGAUGAAGGCCUUAUGGUUGUAAAGCACUUUAAGCGAGGAGGAGGCUACUGAGACUAAUACUCUUGGAUAGUGGACGUUACUCGCAGAAUAAGCACCGGCUAACUCUGUGCCAGCCGCCGCGGUAA